GGGAUCAUAGCUCAGCUGGGAGAGCACCUGCCUUACAAGCAGGGGGUCACAGGUUCGAGCCUUGUUGGUCCCACCA
rnacentral:tRNA from 1 species